CCAAAUUCUCUGAUACACUGUCCAGUGCGCUUGUUGCCUCAUCUAGCAGCAGGAUUGAUGGGUUCUUCAGGAUUGCUCGAGCCAGUGCGAUUCUUUGCUUUUGCCCUCCUGAUAGCUGAGCUCCUCGCUCUCCGCAGUUCAUCAUAAUUUUGCCAAACAUGAGCCCUGGACCAAUGAACAUGACUGAGAGUGGGAUGACUGCAAAUGUGAAUCUCCAUGAUACUACAAAAGCAAAUAUGUGGCAGAAGAAAAAUGUUGACAUGUAAGCAAGGCAAUCAGGUAUCUGCACAGAGUAAGAAUGAGAUAUAUCAGCAUGAUGAAAGAUGGAAUUACUGAUUAUUUUAAAUUAUUGACGUCUCUUCGAAUAGUUGUAUUAUUCAUAUUUAGAGUUUAUAAAAGUUGGAAGGAUAUUCAUUUCUACUAUGGAUGAACCAUUUUCUUGACU